CUCAUGGCUUUCUUCCUACAUAUUAAUACCAUCUCCAUAGAGUAUAUCAUUCCAAAAGCCUAGGGAAACAAGAUGGUGCCAUUAUAGAUGUUCCACAAGAAUGAAAUAAGUUUACAGAUAUUUCCAACAGUAGUCAUAAACCAAACAUGGACAACAUGAAGAUUGAAAGGGCAUAUCACCAUAUGCAUUCCAAAUAUAGCCAAGUUAGAAAUAUAUACACACACACAAAGUGCCCAAUUUCUUCAAUUUUUCAAGCAAUAGAUUCAAAACAAAAUAUUUGUUGCCCUAAUAUCGAGGAGGGAGAAUCGCAAAUGUUACCUGAAGGUUAUGCUGUUUAAUGUGAGCCCAAACCUGCUUGACAACUUCAGUGCGAGGGGCCUCAGCAACGCCGCCGAGGAACGCCUGCAUUUCCGGCGAGACGCGCCGUGGCUUCAUGAUACCUCGGACAGGGCUCUUCUUCGUCUCCGAUGCCGGAUUCGAAGAAGCUGCGAAGCUCACCGUACGCGCGGGCUGCAGGUUAGCAAAAGGAGGAGCCGCAAGCCUAACAGAAGACGGCGACACCGACGGCUUCAACAACGCCGCCGUUUCUCCGGUAACAAAGCCGGAAAACAUCCCCAAGGACAGAGCCAUUACGCCGGAACUUAGGAUUGGAUAAUGUUUCUAGAAACUUCGGGAAAUUCAAAGCGUUUGAAAAUUAUCAGAAACGCCGUGUUAAAAUUGUGAGACGGAGAGAGAAAGAGAUAAACAUAGCAGAGUUUCAGAGGAGACGAUGUGUUCCGCCCACUUUUGGGCCGACCCAAAAUUAUUGGCCCAUACCCCAAACUUAUAAAUAAAGCCUUUGUUGCGAGCCCGAUUCUUAUGGGCUUAAAAAUAUAUUAUUUGGGCCAAUCUAA